rnacentral:rRNA from 1 species
AGUGAACGCUGGCGGUAGGCCUAACACAUGCAAGUCGAACGGCAGCACAGGAGAGCUUGCUCUCUGGGUGGCGAGUGGCGGACGGGUGAGGAAUACAUCGGAAUCUACCUUUUCGUGGGGGAUAACGUAGGGAAACUUACGCUAAUACCGCAUACGACCUUCGGGUGAAAGCAGGGGACCUUCGGGCCUUGCGCGGAUAGAUGAGCCGAUGUCGGAUUAGCUAGUUGGCGGGGUAAAGGCCCACCAAGGCGACGAUCCGUAGCUGGUCUGAGAGGAUGAUCAGCCACACUGGAACUGAGACACGGUCCAGACUCCUACGGGAGGCAGCAGUGGGGAAUAUUGGACAAUGGGCGCAAGCCUGAUCCAGCCAUACCGCGUGGGUGAAGAAGGCCUUCGGGUUGUAAAGCCCUUUUGUUGGGAAAGAAAAGCAGCCAGUUAAUACCUGGUUGUUCUGACGGUACCCAAAGAAUAAGCACCGGCUAACUUCGUGCCAGCCGCCGCUGUAACAC